AAAAGUUAGAAGAUGCGUAAGAGGAUGCCUUAGUGAAGUUAUGUUUCCUCUCAUUUAAGUCGAAUUUGUUUAUAGACCAUACUUUAAUUAAUAUUGAAGGAUACCACAUUUCAGGUAGUCAUUUAGCUAGAAUAAAAAAUGUAUAACUUUGCUAAUGUAGUUUAUUAGAAAUAGAGAUGCCCUGUCAAAGUGUAGCACGAGGGAUUCUGCAGAUAAGUUAUCCAUUGCUUCCACUUCAUUAAGGCAUCAACUUUGUGAUGGAAUUGGGUUUACAAGCAAUUACUACCCAUUGUUACUUAAAAGAAAGCUCAAAAAUACAAUUAUUUGUUCUUUGAAAUAUGCAUUUGUUUCAUUUGAGGUGAAUCCUUUUCCAUUACCUUGUGAUUAUGGUCCCAGCACUUUGAAGAUGCAAGAGAGGCACUAUAAAAAUAUUAAACGCGUCUAUUAUUAUCCUUUUAUACUUCAGCUUAUAUGCGAAAUAAUACAUGACAACUUGCAUUUGCACCUUUGCACCUCGUAUUGUGGUGGAUACCAGUAUUUGGAUUUACAUUUACAUCUCUGUUGUGAAGCUUAUAUCAGGUUUGCAAAAAGUAAGGUCAUUGAUCUGCAAGAAAAGUUAAACAAAUGAGAAAUAAUAUUAGUAGAAGUAGAAGAUUGAUAUUUGAAUAUGUUGUUCCUGGCAUGAUUGGGAAGAAAAAGAGCCUAACUGCAAACCGUACUUGGCCAGCAGUGGGAUAUUGUAAAGUGAAGCUAUAAGCAGCAAUUGGAAUUUUGGGUUUCAGAAGUAUUUAACUCCUGCAUCUCAUCCAAGUAUUCGAUUUAGAAGAAGGAAAAAGGAAAGGAAAGCAACAUUGUUUGACAUUUAGGCUUUGCUUCAUAUCAAAGAUGGAAAGGAGUGAAGAUGAAAAACUUGUUAAUUAAAUGGUCAAGAUUCAUAACCACUUUCCUACUUUGUAGCUUAACCAUUAGAUUAACAAAUUUUCCAUACUUCUUUCCAUUCUUCAUACCAAGCGGAGCUACAAAUCUUAAAAUAAAGAGAAAAAGAGACUUUCAUUCUUUGGUCAUCUCGGGGAAGAAACUACUUAAGAAUCUUAUAUAGGGAUUGAAUCGAGUAGAUUAUUGUCGAAGUGGCUGUUUAACAGUCCUGGCUGUCAAUUCUUAAGUUCUUUUAUAAUUUUAUUUGCUUUGACAAGCAAAAUUCCUUUUAAGAAUGCUAAAAGGAUUCCAUGUCCUGGGGCAAGCAUGGUGUCCUAGUUCAUAGUCUGUAUUAUCUAUUUAUUGUAAUCUUUUCUGCCUUACGCUCAUUGAUUUGGUUGGCUGCUAAUGCAAUAAAGUAGUUGAUACCACUUUGAUGUGUAUCAUAUCAAUGAAAAUCACUAACUGGCAACUUCUGUUAUUUUCAACUUUUCAUUGUAAACAAGCCAUGUUUUUCAAAAAAAAAUUUUAAAACAUGUUUUGUGAUGUGCAUUCUCAAACUUUGUUAUAGAUUCGGUAUUCAGAAUUUGCUUUUUACACUUCAUUUUGCUUUUCUUUUGGUUCAGGAGUUGCUACCUAGAAGAUUGUUUUGGUUAUCAAAAGAAUUAUAGGAGAAGAUAAUCUUGUGAAGCAGAUGAUCUAUGAAUUAUGCCUAUUUCCUUUGUAUUAAAAGAAAAUUGGUUAUCUCAAGCUAACCGAAGUGCCUAUUAAGGGAUCUACAAGGGAUUUUGUGUUGAGGCUUGAGUUUUGAGUUACCUUUAUAAGGGUUCUUUUUUCUAUUUUUCCUUUUUCUGGGUAUUUUAGUAAGAUGUAAAGAUACAGACAGAAAUGCUAAAGCAUCUCAUGCGAAGCAAGGAGAUAGGCUUUUCUUUCUCUCCCUAAAUUUCUUAUCCUAUAAUGUGGCUCUAGCUAAGUUGUGGGUUAUCUUCAGGUAUGGUUCUUGUUGAUUUAGGGCUCCUUUAAAUCAAGUUACUAUAUAUGCUAAUUCUUACUCCAUUGAAACUUUUUCUGCUACAGGUUGAAAUACUAAAAUGGAUUAUUCGAUCAGACAUGUUUUUGGUUUUCAAUACUCUUCAGACGAAAUAAACAAAGCCAUAUGGUAUUUGAUAUGAUUUCUGCAUAAUGCUAUCAGUUUGGAUCUACAAAUACAAUGCUAUGGAACAUCACAUUGCAUUGCUUGAGCUUUUUAUAAUAUGAGGAUAUGCACGUACAUGUUCUUAUGUUUAUGAUAUUAAAUCUAAUCAUGUGAAGUUGCAUAAUGGACUUUGUUUGCGUGCAAUAGUCAUUAAUCAGAAAUUUAGAAUGAGGCGAUUGGAGCCGCAUUAUCAUGUGAUCAAGUCUUGGAGGCUUGCUGGCAUUCCUUGUUUUGAUCCCAUUUUCUUUUUAUUUAAUUUUUCAUUUACGAUGCUGUUCCAAUGCUUUGUCUGGUCUAAAACUAGAAAUCAUAUUACGAGUUUGGGUUUGUCUGAUAUAAAUAUGUUUAUGUUUUCUAAAGUUGUAUGCUUAUGUCUAAAAUUUUUCAAAUAUGGCAAUUGACCUCAAGUAUCGAUUACAAGAGUUUUUAAGAAAAAUGGAGGGUUUACAAAAAGUUAGAGAUUAUUACCAUGUAUUUGAUAAGGAAAGUUUAAAUCUAGUUUGAUGACUAUAUUAUGCAAAAACUUGAUGUAGUUUGAUCUGAGCUUAUAAAAGAUUUAUGAUUUUUUGAUAGGACAUGUUUGGAUAUUAUAAAAGAAUUUAAUAAAUUUUUCAGAAGGUUAUGGUGGAGUACCAAGAAAAUUUUGAAUGAAGUUAUAUAUAAGCUACAUGUUGAAGAGUUACAAUCAUUAAGUUGAGUAAAAGAGAAAAUUAUUAUACCAGAAAAUCACACUAGGUUUAAUUUUUAAGAAGAUUGGAGGAAUCACAAAUAAUCUCACUUAAAACUCAAGUUCCUAAAUAGAAUGUUCCUACAAUUUAAUUUAAUAGCACAAUAUGUCAUCAUAUUGUCCCCUAUAAAAUAUCUACAAUUGUACCUACAAAAUAUUGAAAGAUAAAUAAAAACAAGGAAGAACAUUAGAAAUUUAAUGAGGUUCAACAAAUUAUGCAUAUGUUCUCUGACACUACCAAAAAAAUGUCAAAUUCUAGGAUGAUCAAAAGGUGAAGAAACCACCUCUAUUUAUAGUAAUACAAACACUCCUUACCCUUGUAUUUUUUAAAUGUAGGAUUGUAGUAUUUCAACAUACUAUUAGUUACAUAGUCAGAUAUAUUUUAAAAACCUAAAGGUCAAUAUACCCCUCCCAAAAGUUAUGACCACUACCCUUCUUAACUAGUGUAGUCCCAAAAGUUAUGACCACUACCCUUCUUAACUAGUGUAGUUGAGACUUGAAACCCAAUAAACUUCCACAGUUUUUUAAUAUAUACAAUUGAAUAACUUAACAAUGAAAAAAAUUGGAAGAGUUAUUAAAUUAGCUUACUAAUGCCUUUUGACCUUAUUGAUGCCCCUACUACAUUUCAAUCUUUAAUGAAAGUUUUUCUUUUAUUUGUAUUAUUGAGGUGGGAGAAAAAGUCUAUUUGAAGAUCCAACCUUACAAGCAAACUACACUAGCUUUUAAGAAACAGCUUAAGCUUUCUUUCAAGUGUUUUGCCCUUAUUCUAUAAUUACCAAAGUGGGGUCAAUAAUUUAUAAGCUCAAAUUACCAAAUACUGCUAAAAUCCAUAAUGUGUUUUAUGUUAUCUCCUAAAAAAGAAAAGAAAAGAAAAAGCUCUAAAGAGGUUGCUGAUGAUGGACAACCCCUUGUUACCUAGUUGUCAUAUUGGACAAGAGAAUAACUAAAAGGGGAAACAAUGUAGGACAAUCCAAGACCAUAACAAUGAACCAAGGAGCUAGGCAAAGAGGAUUACUACUCAAAUUCACAUGCAUCAAGAGACAAAUUAUUGAAGAAUGAAGGAUCCAACUGGAAUGUUGAGCUGGCAUAAUACAAAAUAGCUGUUUAGGAAAUUUGUUAAGCUUAGGUCAUAGUUGUUGAUUAUUGGUUUAUGUAAUUUGUAGUUAUAGACCUCACUAUUUAUGCAUGACUAUAUGUGAAAAUAAGCUUUAUGAAAUGAAAUUAUUAAUGGAAAAACUCUUUACCUUUUUUCCUCUUUCCUUCUCUGGUCUCAUAUCAUCUUCUUUCUUCCAUAACAAUAACUGGAUUUCUUUUUCAGCAGCAAUACAAAGCUAAAAUUCAAUUAAAACAAUGAGCAAUUGAUCACUUAUAUCAACAAAAUGAAGUCCUAUCUCUAUUACAAUGAAGGACCAUGAAACAAUAAAAAAUCAAGAUUAAGAAAAGUAAGGUUGGAGUGAUCUCACCAAGUUCUUGAAACUUUUAAGGAGAAUUUGUUGGUUUAAGGGGGACAUUAAUGAAGGUGAAAUUUUG
rnacentral:lncRNA from 1 species